GCCAGGUGUGGUGGUGCACACUUGUAAUCCCAGCUACUGUGGAGGCUGAGGCAGGAGAAUUGCUUGAACCCAGGAGGCAGAGGUUGCAGUGAGCCAAGAUUGAGCCACUGCACUCCAGCCUGGGUGGCAGAGCAAGACUCUGUCUCAA
rnacentral:SRP_RNA from 1 species